GAUGGAGUUGAAACUCUUCCAAGAUGUCAGCUCAUGGCGCUCUGUGCCUAGAGAAAGGAGGAGAGAAAAGGAGCGUAUCGGUUUCCUGAUUUAAGCUUGCUAUGAGUACUUUGUACAUCCUGAAGGAAGGUAAAUAAACAAUUGAAAUUAAAGUAUAUGUAACAC